UGAACGCUGGCGGCGUGCCUAAUACAUGCAAGUCGAGCGAACAGACGCGGAGCUUGCUCCUCUGACGUUAGCGGCGGACGGGUGAGUAACACGUGGAUAACCUACCUAUAAGACUGGGAUAACUUCGGGAAACCGGAGCUAAUACCGGAUAAUAUAUUGAACCGCAUGGUUCAAUAGUGAAAGACGGUUUUGCUGUCACUUAUAGAUGGAUCCGCGCCGCAUUAGCUAGUUGGUAAGGUAACGGCUUACCAAGGCGACGAUGCGUAGCCGACCUGAGAGGGUGAUCGGCCACACUGGAACGGAGACACGGUCCAGACUCCUACGGGAGGCAGCAGUAGGGAAUCUUCCGCAAUGGGCGAAAGCCUGACGGAGCAACGCCGCGUGAGUGAUGAAGGUCUUCGGAUCGUAAAACUCUGUUAUUAGGGAAGAACAAAUGUGUAAGUAACUAUGCACGUCUUGACGGUACCUAAUCAGAAAGCCACGGCUAACUACGUG
rnacentral:rRNA from 1 species